AUCUAUUUUUGUGUCAACUAAAAAAAAAAAAAGUACUGCUUCUGUCCUUUUUUUUUUUUGGCGUUCCUUUAACGCUUAUGCAGACACAUGUUGUAGCCAAUCAUCCUCUUACACUUCAGCAUAAGAGCUGACAUGGGUCCUCUGUUCACCCACUAUGUAUAAUGAUGAUGGACUAGCUUAUAGGAGUAGCCUCAGGCGUUUCUGUUAGUCUUUUUAGGUAGAGCGUAGACGCAAAUAGAGUAAUAGUGAAUAGAUGGUGAGAAAGCUGGGGGUAAUGGCGAAUAGUGGUUCAAUUUUCACUACUCUUUUAGUAGUUGUAGUAGCUCUUCUUGCUGUUUCAGCAGAAAAUGAGGGAGACAAGAUAGUACAGUCGAAGGAAGAAUUUGUGUGGACUUUGGACCAUACUAACUUCUCUGAUAUUAUUUCCCAUCACAAGAUGAUCGUUGUAGAGUUCUAUGCCCCUUGGUGUGGAUACUGCCAGCAACUUGAGCCAAAGUACGAACAAGCAGCUUCGGUGUUGAAUAGUCACGAUCCUCCAGUAAUUCUUGCUAAAAUGGAUACAACAAUUCCAGAAAAUGCAGCACUUGCAAGAAAUUACACCCUUAACGGUGUUCCAAAUAUUAGGAUCUUCCGUAAUGGUGGCAAGACAGUUCAUGAGUAUAAAGGUACUCGUGAGACCGAGGGUAUAAUUGCCUAUUUGAAAAAACAUGCGGGCCCUGCAUCUCUUGAAAUCAAAUCAAAGGAAGAUGCUGCAAACCUUAUUGAUGGAAAAAAAAUCGUUGUCGCUGGCAUAUUUCCAGAACUCUCUUUAGAGAAGAUCCAGAACUUCACAGCUCUUGCUGAAGAUCUAAGAGUAGAUUAUGAUUUUGUUCACACACUUGAUGCCAAACUCCUUCCUCGUGGUGGGCUGGUUGAUAAACCAUCUAUUCGUCUAUUUAAGCCAUUUGAUGAACUCUAUGCUGACUUCGAGGAUUUUCAACUUGAGGCAAUGCAGAAUUUCAUUGAAGAAACUAGUGUUCCAAUCAUGGCUAUUCUUGAUGACAAUCCAGAAAACCAGCAAUUUGUCAACCACUUUUUGCAUAGUCCGGGGGACAAGGUAUUUCUAUUUCUCAACUUCAGCACUGAUCUUGAUGCUUUCAAGUCCAAAUACUAUGAUCUUGCAGUCAGUUACAAGGGAAAGGAAGCAAACUUCCUCUUGGGAGAUGCUGAGACUGGUAAAAGGGCCCUUCAGUAUUUUGGAUUGGACACUGAUCAGGCACCUUUAGUCUUCUUACUUUCCAUGGACGGCACAAAAUAUGUUCAGAGACAUGUACAACCUGAUAACCUUGCAUCUUGGUUGAAGGAUUGUAAGGAUGGGAAGUUGAAACCAUACUUGAAGUCACAGCCUAUCCCAGAAGUUAACAAUGAACCUGUUAAGGUGGUGGUUGCGGAGACUCUUGAGGAUAUGGUGCUCAAUUCAGGGAAAGAUGUACUGGUAGAGUUCUAUCGACUUGGGUGUAAAUAUUGUGAGGAGUUCACUCCAGUCUUGGAUGAAAUAGCUCUCUCAUUUGAAAAAGACCCUGAUGUCCUAAUUGUUAAAAUUGAUGGGACAGAAAAUGAUAUACCUCGUGACCUGUUUGAAGUUCAAGGAUUCCCAACUUUAUACUUGAGAUCUGCAACCGGUAGUUUGUCAAGGUUUGACGGCAAUAGAACAAAAGAGGCCAUUAUUGAAUUUAUCCAGACAAAUAGGGGUACCCCUGCUCCUUCAAAUUUUGUGAAAUCUGAUUUAACAGUAUCAGAAAUGGCACAAAAAGAGCCAGUGAAGGAUGAGUUGUAAGGAGGAUUCAUUCUCUGACACGCUGUUUUUGAUGGUAUUGGUUAUCGUUCCUGGAGACGGGGAAUAAUUAGGGCAUUAUCAGUGAAGAACAACUUGGAUUUUAUCAAUGACAAAUCUACAAUACCCACUGAAGAUUCUCCUAACUUCAGUCUUCGGGAAAGAUGCGACAACACGGUGACCUCAUGGAUCCUAAAUUCAUUAUCAUACGAUUUGGUAGACAGCCCACAAUAUGUGAAUGAUGCUAGAGAACUUUGGCAGAAACUCGAGGAUCAAUAUGAUCAAACUAAUGGCGCGAAAUUGUACCAACUAUAAAAGGAAAUCAAUGAUUUAUCACAAGGAAAUUUGGAUAUCACUGCUUACUAUACAAAGAUGGAGAAGUUGUGGGAAGAAUUGAACACUCUCAAUGCUAUCACAGCCUGUUGUCAAUGCUCAUGUCUAAGGCCAGUAUGCACAAGGUAGAGCAAGACAGGCGUUUGAUUCAAUUCCUCAUGGGAUUAAAUGAAGUUUACAUUGCUGUGCGAGGCCCCUUCAUUGAAGAGGCCUUUGGAGAUUGGUAGAGCCAAAGAUGGACUAUACUACCUUUGCUCCAAAUGUCACAACAAGCAUCCAAAUGUAGCUGCAUAUUGCAAGUCUUUUUCACCCCUUAUUUUUCCCUACCUGUCUGAUUCUUGUUCUAGUUUGUCCAGUCUUGGUUGUGGUUCUUGUAAAUACAAUAAGCAAAAUGUAUCUCAUCAUCACCUGGUAUAUAGUUCACAUCCUGCAUCAUCACCUGGUAUAUAGUUCACAUCCUGUAAAUAAAGGAACUUGUUCUGUCUGUCGUUCUUUAACUUCUACGUCUCAUGGAAAUAACAAUGAUCUUUUAUGGCACUUAAGACUAGGCCAUGUAUCCUUUGUGAAGAUGAAAGGGAUAUCCUCACUACCACAUUUGUCACCUAAACAACCCUUCAUUUGCUCGAUCUGUCCAAUGUCCAGACAAACUAGACUUACCCUCCCAGAAAAGACCACCACUACAAUAAAACCUUUUGAUAAUUUGCACGUUGAUAUGUGGGGACCAUAUCAUACAUCUACUCAUGACAAUCAUAGAUUUUUUCUCACACCGGUUGAUGACUUUACUAGAUCAACUUGGACUCACCUGGUGAGCAACAAAAGUAAUGCUCUACAUGUCAUAAAAUCUUUCAUUUCCCUUGUUGAGAAUCAAUAUGCAAUCACUGUCAAGAUUCUCACAAUGGUCUUGAAUUUGUUAAUAAUGAAACAGAACUACCUUCAAUCCAAGGGAAUUGUACACCAGAGAACCUGUUCCUACACACCACAAUAGAAUGGCGUUGUGGAGAGAAAACCUAAAUAUCUCCUAGAAAUAUCAAGAGCCUUGUUGUACCAAUACAAACUACCUCUUUCAUAUUGGGGAGUGCUUCUUGACAGCUAUAUACUUAAUAAAUAGAAUACCAUCCUCAGUUUUAGGCAACAAACGUCCAUAUGAGUUAUUGAACCAAAGACCACCAUUGUAUAAUCACCUCAAGGACUUUGGAUGCUUGUGCUAUCCCACCAUUCUCAAAGGACACAAAUACAAGUUUGAACCAAGGAUCACCACUCACAUAUUUGUAGGAUAUCCUUUUGGCGCCAAAGGUUACAGAGUAUUAGACUUAACCAUAAAAAGAUUGUCUAUUUCUAGAGAUGUUGUGUUUCAUGAAGCUGUUUUCCCCUUUGCAUUAUGUCCUGAUAACUCUUCUUUUCCCUUCGUUUUAAUGUCAGUAAGGUCCUACUUCAACAAUACUUCAAACUUGAACACUAACACACACUCCACUGGUAUUAGUCAUUUGGAUACACAGAGGAUAUCUCUGAUUGUGUUGUUCCAAAGUCUGUUCACACUGAAACACCACUACCUGAUCAUUCGAAUAUUUCUAUACAAAUAUCACAUAUUUCCACAUGUGAAAACAGUGAUGAUAUAUCAUCUCAUCAACCUAUGUCACCACCUCCAAAUACACUACCUGUUGCAACCCAAUCCACCUGAACUAAGGAGGUCAUACAGAGUUCAUACAAUACCUGCUUAUCUUCAAGAAUACACUUACACAUUACCUGGUCUUCACACCAGACCUACUGUUCCAUCCACUAGUACAUCCAAGUUUUCUUUUUUCUCACCUAUAGCAUCCUUGCCCUUAAUAAGUAAAUCCACCCCAUUCACAUCACUUACGCAAGAUAGUCAAGAGACAAUGAGAAACAUUUCACUUGCUAGUGAACCCUCUUCUUAUGAGGAAGCAGCCUUGAAUCCUGCAUGGCAAGCUGCCAUGACCCAAGAGUUUGAAACACUUUAUGCAAAUCAAACUUGGGAUUUAGUCACAUUGCCUGCUAAUAAGAAAGCUAUAGGUUGUAGUUGGGUGUAUAAAAAUCAAACAUAAAGCAGAUGGAAGUGUAGAAAGGUUUAAGGCAAGACUUGUAGUCAAAGGUUUCACACAACAACAGGGUGUUGAUUACACUGAAACGUUCUCACCAGUGGUGAAAAUGACAACCAUCAGAACCCUAUUAUGUUUAGCCAUAAAGAAAGGAUGGCCACUUUAUAAAUUGGAUAUUAACAAUGCAUUUCUGCAUGGGGAUUUAAGGGAAGAAGUCUACAUGGAGUUACCACCAGGCUUAUUGGUUGAUCAAGAAGGACUAGUUUGCAGGCUAAAGAAAUCACUAUAUGGUUUAAAACAAGCAAGCAGUCAAUGGUAUGACAAAUUGACUGAGUCUUUAUGCUCAAAAGAUUUUGUGCAUUCAGCCAGUGAUUAUUCCUUAUUUGGGCAAACUAUACUUUUUCUUAGGACUGGAAACUCUCUAUACAGCUGAUGGUGCCUUGAUCUUGCAGAGUAAGUUUGCUACUGAUUUACUCAAGUAGUUUGAUUGCCUGAAUUACACAAAGGUUUCAUCACCCUUGGAUUCUACAAUUAAACUACAUCCAGAUAAAGGAAAGAGGUUGAUGUCUGAUCCUACAGUUUACGGGAAACUGGUAGGCAAAGUAAAUUUUCUCACCAACACAAGGUUGGACAUUGCCUAUAGUGUGCAACAUCUUAGUCAGUUUAUGCAUGCUCCCAGAGAACCACAUUAUCAGGCUGCACUACAUGUGCUCCCAGAGAACCACAUUAUCAGGCUGCACUACAUGUGCUGAGAUACCUCAAAAAUGAUAUAACCUUAGGACUCUUUCUAUCUAACAAAAGUCAGUAAGUGGUUACAUUGUUUUCCUUGGUGAUAUUCCCAUUAGUUGGAAAUUCAAGAAGCAGUCUACCAUCUCACUUUCUUUAGCAGAAGCCGAGUAUAGAUCUCUCAGAAAGGUAGUGGGAGAAUUAGUCUGGAUUGACAGAUUAUUGACAGAGUUACUGAGUGUCCUUCCAAACCUAUUUCUGUGUAUUGUGAUAGUGAAGUUGCAAUUCAUAUUGCAAGGAAUCCCGUGUUCCAUGAAAGGUCCAAGCACAUAGAAGUUGAUUGCCAUUUUGUUAGAGACAAAGCUUCAUGAUGGACUUAUCAGUUUGCAACAUAUCUCAACCACACAACAAUUAGCUGAUAUACUUACUAAAGCUCUUGGUGGUGUCACAUCAUUCUAUACUUGGCAAGUUGUCAGUGCAGUCCACAACUCCCAACUUGAGGGGGGUGUUGAGAUCAAUCAGUUGAUUAAUUAUGCUAGCAGCUAGUUAGUUAACGAUGUGCAUCCUAGUUUGUUAUUGGCUUGAUUAGCUUAAGAGAAGUAGUUAGUUCUCUUAAUUGAUUAGCUGAAACUAGUUGUGUCACUUGUUUCUUGUAUAAAUACUCUUACAGCAUAGUGAAAAUCAGCUUUCUGAUUUGCAAAUUAUCUUCUCAUGUUACGUUUAUCACAACCAUGAGCUCUGCUUGCUCCAUUAAUGGAGGUUCACUAUUGUUAUAGCUCAAUCUCAAUAGGAAUAUUUAGGAAACUUAAUAGUUAACCUACAUAUUGGAGAAGAAGAAUAACAAAUGCUGAGAAGUAAACUAUCCAUCAGAUGAAUUAUGAAUGGUUUUGGACAUGACUUGAAGGGAAAACAUCUCUUGAUUUUUUGGUUCUAGAUUUCAGGAUUUUCAGCUUGCGUAUUGAAAUUGAGCUUCUUUUACUCUAUUUGCACUGUUGUAGAAGUGAGACUUCCCCAAAUUACCCUUAGCUCUUAGCAGUAGGUAUUUUCAACAACCGACAAGGAACAAAACAAAACUGAAUAAGAUGAGUUGUGAAAUCAAAGUUGUUAUUUGACAUUCUAAAUUGUAUUCGGAUUCAGCUUUAAUUGCAUGAGCUGAAGGGAUCAUCUCCAAAGGCAUCUAAAUUUGCUUUCCCUUUUUUUUGGCAGGUUUAUGAAACCCACAUUGAUCAUAGUGCAGCUUUCUUUUGUGUACCGAUGGCGGUGUUUUCUCUCCCCUCUCAUCCAAUUAGCCCGACCUCCCUGCCU